rnacentral:rRNA from 1 species
UACAGAGGGGCAAGCGUUGUUCGGAAUUACUGGGCGUAAAGGGCGCGUAGGCGGCCUUCUAAGUCGAACGUGAAAUCCCCGGGCUCAACCCGGGAACUGCGUCCGAUACUGGAAGGCUUGAAUCCGGGAGAGGGAUGCGGAAUUCCAGGUGUAGCGGUGAAAUGCGUAGAUAUCUGGAAGGAACACCGGUGGCGAAGGCGGCAUCCUGGACCGGUAGUUGACGCUGAGGCGCGAAAGCCAGGGGAGCAAACGGG